rnacentral:rRNA from 1 species
UGAUAAGUAGGCAAAUCCGCUUAUCGUGAAGGCUGAGCUGUGAUGGGGAAGCUCCUUAUGGAGCGAAGUCUUUGAUUCCCCGCUGCCAAGAAAAGCUUCUAGCGAGAUAAAAGGUGCCUGUACCGCAAACCGACACAGGUAGGCGAGGAGAGAAUCCUAAGGUGUGCGAGAGAACUCUGGUUAAGGAACUCGGCAAAAUGACCCCGUAACUUCGGGAGAAGGGGUGCUUUCUUAACGGAAAGCCGCAGUGAAUAGGCCCAAGCGACUGUUUAGCAAAAACACAGGUCUCUGCGAAGCCGUAAGGCGAAGUAUAGGGGCUGACACCUGCCCGGUGCUGGAAGGUUAAGGAGAGGGGUUAGCGUAAGCGAAGCUCUGAACUGAAGCCCCAGUAAACGGCGGCCGUAACUAUAACGGUCCUAAGGUAGCGAAAUUCCUUGUCGGGUAAGUUCCGACCCGCACGAAAGGUGUAACGAUUUGGGCACUGUCUCAACCAGAGACUCGGUGAAAUUAUAGUACCUGUGAAGAUGCAGGUUACCCGCGACAGGACGGAAAGACCCCGUGGAGCUUUACUGUAGCCUGAUAUUGAAUUUUGGUACAGUUUGUACAGGAUAGGCGGGAGCCAUUGAAACCGGAGCGCUAGCUUCGGUGGAGGCGCUGGUGGGAUACCGCCCUGACUGUAUUGAAAUUCUAACCUACGGGUCUUAUCGACCCGGGAGACAGUGUCAGGUGGGCAGUUUGACUGGGGCGGUCGCCUCCUAAAGUGUAACGGAGGCGCCCAAAGGUUCCCUCAGAAUGGUUGGAAAUCAUUCGUAGAGUGCAAAGGCAUAAGGGAGCUUGACUGCGAGACCUACAAGUCGAGCAGGGACGAAAGUCGGGCUUAGUGAUCCGGUGGUUCCGCAUGGAAGGGCCAUCGCUCAACGGAUAAAAGCUACCCCGGGGAUAACAGGCUUAUCUCCCCCAAGAGUCCACAUCGACGGGGAGGUUUGGCACCUCGAUGUCGGCUCAUCGCAUCCUGGGGCUGUAGUCGGUCCCAAGGGUUGGGCUGUUCGCCCAUUAAAGCGGUACGCGAGCUGGGUUCAGAACGUCGUGAGACAGUUCGGUCCCUAUCCGUCGUGGGCGCAGGAAAUUUGAGAGGAGCUGUCCUUAGUACGAGAGGACCGGGAUGGACGCACCGCUGGUGUACCAGUUGUUCUGCCAAGGGCAUAGCUGGGUAGCUAUGUGCGGAAGGGAUAAGUGCUGAAAGCAUCUAAGCAUGAAGCCCCCCUCAAGAUGAGAUUUCCCAUAGCGUAAGCUAGUAAGAUCCCUGAAAGAUGAUCAGGUUGAUAGGUUCGAGGUGGAAGCAUGGUGACAUGUGGAGCUGACGAAUACUAAUAGAUCGAGGACUUAACCAU